rnacentral:rRNA from 1 species
GAUGAACGCUGGCGGCGUGCCUAAUACAUGCAAGUCGAGCGAAUGGAUUAAGAGCUUGCUCUUAUGAAGUUAGCGGCGGACGGGUGAGUAACACGUGGGUAACCUGCCCAUAAGACUGGGAUAACUCCGGGAAACCGGGGCUAAUACCGGAUAACAUUUUGAACCGCAUGGUUCGAAAUUGAAAGGCGGCUUCGGCUGUCACUUAUGGAUGGACCCGCGUCGCAUUAGCUAGUUGGUGAGGUAACGGCUCACCAAGGCAACGAUGCGUAGCCGACCUGAGAGGGUGAUCGGCCACACUGGGACUGAGACACGGCCCAGACUCCUACGGGAGGCAGCAGUAGGGAAUCUUCCGCAAUGGACGAAAGUCUGAUGGAGCAACGCCGCGUGAGUGAUGAAGGCUUUCGGGUCGUAAAACUCUGUUGUUAGGGAAGAACAAGUGCUAGUUGAAUAAGCUGACACCUUGACGGUACCUAACCAGAAAGCCACGGCUAACUAUGUGCCAGCCGCCGCGGUAA